AGAAGUCGUAACAAGGUUUCCGUAGGUGAACCAGCGGAAGGAUCAUUG
rnacentral:rRNA from 2 species